rnacentral:rRNA from 1 species
CUCAGUUCAGAUUGCAGGCUGCAACUCGCCUGCAUGAAGCCGGAAUUGCUAGUAAUGGCAGGUCAGCAUACUGCCGUGAAUACGUUCCCGGGCCUUGUACACACCGCCCGUCACACCAUGAGAGUUGGGGAUACCCGAAGCCUGUGAGCUAACUUAACGGAGGCAGCAGUCGAAGGUAGAAUCAAUGAUUGGGGUGAAGUCGUAACAAGGUAUC